AGUGAACGCUGGCGGCAGGCCUAACACAUGCAAGUCGAACGGCCACACAGUAAGAUCUUGCUCUUAAGGGUGGCGAGUGGCGGGCGAGUGAGGCAUAGAUAGGCAACUUCUAUUUCGUGGGGGACUACGGAAGGAAACAUAUGCUAAUAGAUAAUAUGACCUACCGGUGGGAUCAAGAGAGAAUCAGAGCCUUCGCGUCUCUAUGAGACGAAGUCGGAUUAGCUAGUUGGCUAGGUAAAGGCCUACCAAGGCGACGAUACGUAGCUGAUCUGAGAGGAUGAUCAGCCACACUGGAACUGAGACACGGUCCAGACUCCUACGGGAGGCAGCAGUAGGGAAUCUUCCGCAAUGGGCGAAAGCCUGACGCAGCAACGCCGCGUGAGUGAAGAAGGUCUUCGGAUCGUAAAGCCCUGUUAUUAGGGAAGAACAAAUGUGUAAGUAUCUCUGCACGUCUUGACGGUACCUAAUCAGAAAGCCCCGGCUAACUACGUG
rnacentral:rRNA from 1 species